rnacentral:rRNA from 1 species
UACGGAGGGUGCAAGCAUUAAUCGGAUUCACUGGGCGUAAAGGGCGCGUAGGCGGGUCAACAAGUCAAAUGUGAAAUUCCGGAGCUCAACUUCGGAGCGGCAUUUGAAACUGUCGACCUAAAGAGGGAUGGCGGAGAAAACGGAAUUCCACAUGUAGCGGUGAAAUGCGUAGAUAUGUGGAAGAACACCAGUGGCGAAGGCGGCUUUCUGGCCUGUUCUUGACGCUGAGGCGCGAAAGCUAGGGUAGCAAACGGG